UGCGUAGGCGGUUUACUAAGUCAGAUGUGAAAGCCCCGGGCUUAACCUGGGAACUGCAUUUGAUACUGGUAGACUAGAGUAUGAUAGGGGGGGGUAGAAUCCCUGGUGUAGCGGUGAAAUGCGUAGAUAUCAGGAGGAAUACCAGUGGCGAGGGCGGCCCCCUGGAUCAAUACUGACGCUGAGGUACGAAAGCGUGGGUAGCGAACA
rnacentral:rRNA from 1 species